rnacentral:sRNA from 1 species
AAAAAGCCCGCUUCUGCGUCAGCAUGAGCGGGCUCGGUGCGGAAAAGCCUGUAGCGUCGCCGGUGCGUGGUCCUGAUUCGCCACCGGUUCGCUUUAGCUGUUUCGGGUUCCGACUCAGGCUAAACAACUAGCCCGUUCAUCAAAACCCGCGUCCGCAAGCUGAUCUCAAAUCGACGCAAACACAAUCCUAUCACGCGUUUCCUUGCCCGG